rnacentral:lncRNA from 1 species
GAGUUGCUUCGAUUUGGCCUCAAAGUAACUCAAUCUUCUUGCCUACAUUGGUAGGACUUCAGACAACCAAAGAAUCAAUGGAAUUGAGCAAUAAAUUGAGAGAAUCAAAGAGUUGAAAAUUUCUGCAAAUUACCUUCAAUGAAGGUCUGAUCUUGAUGGAUCUUGAGCUUGCUUGCACUUGGACUCACUCUAAUUGCUUGCAGGAGAGGAAUGGAAAGGUUUAGAAGUAAUGGAUUUCUGGAGAAUUGAAUUCCAAAACAGUGGAGAUUCAAGCUCAAAUUCAAA